UACAGAGGGGGCAAGCGUUAUUCGGAAUUAUUGGGCGUAAAGGGCGCGUAGGCGGCCCUGUAAGUCAAAGGUGAAAUCCCUCGGCUCAACUGAGGAACUGCCUUUGAAACUGCAGGGCUUGAGGCCGGGAGGGGGUAGCGGAAUUCCCAAUGUAGCGGUGAAAUGCGUAGAUAUUGGGAGGAACACCAGUGGCGAAGGCGGCUACCUGGACCGGUUCUGACGCUGAGGCGCGAAAGCGUGGGUAGCAAACAGG
rnacentral:rRNA from 1 species